UACGUAGGGUGCGAGCGUUGUCCGGAUUUAUUGGGCGUAAAGAGCUCGUAGGUGGUUUGUCGCGUUGUCCGUGAAAACUCACAGCUUAACUGUGGGCGUGCGGGCGAUACGGGCAGACUGGAGUACUGCAGGGGAGACUGGAAUUCCUGGUGUAGCGGUGGAAUGCGCAGAUAUCAGGAGGAACACCGGUGGCGAAGGCGGGUCUCUGGGCAGUAACUGACGCUGAGGAGCGAAAGCGUGGGGAGCGAACAGG
rnacentral:rRNA from 1 species